UGCGAAUGCUGACAUAAGUAACGAUAAUGCGGGUGAAAAACCCGCACGCCGGAAGACCAAGGGUUCCUGUCCAACGUUAAUCGGGGCAGGGUGAGUCGACCCCUAAGGCGAGGCUGAAAAGCGUAGUCGAUGGGAAACGGGUUAAUAUUCCCGUACUGGUGGUAACUGCGAUGGGGGAACGGAGAAGGCUAGGUUGUCCGGGCGACGGUCGUCCCGGUUCAAGCAGGUAGGCAGAGUGAUUAGGCAAAUCCGGUCACUUAAUGCUGAGAUGUGAUGACGAACCACCAAGGUGGUGAAGCAAUUGAUGCCCCGCUUCCAGGAAAAGCCUCUAAGCUUCAGGUUACCAACAAUCGUACCCCAAACCGACACAGGUGGUCAGGUAGA
rnacentral:rRNA from 1 species